AGCGAACGCUGGCGGCAGGCUUAACACAUGCAAGUCGAACGGGCAUCUUCGGAUGUCAGUGGCAGACGGGUGAGUAACACGUGGGAACGUACCCUUCGGUUCGAAAUAACUCAGGGAAACUUGAGCUAAUACCGGAUACGCCCUUUUGGGGAAAGGUUUACUGCCGAAGGAUCGGCCCGCGUCUGAUUAGCUUGUUGGUGGGGUAACGGCCUACCAAGGCGACGAUCAGUAGCUGGUCUGAGAGGAUGAUCAGCCACACUGGGACUGAGACACGGCCCAGACUCCUACGGGAGGCAGCAGUGGGGAAUAUUGGACAAUGGGCGCAAGCCUGAUCCAGCCAUGCCGCGUGAGUGAUGAAGGCCUUAGGGUUGUAAAGCUCUUUUGUCCGGGACGAUAAUGGCGGUACCGGAAGAAUAAGCCCCGGCUAACUUCGUG
rnacentral:rRNA from 1 species